rnacentral:lncRNA from 1 species
AGGAAUUACACUAAAGGAAAUACAAAAUGAUGUUCUUUAGGAGAAUGAAUACAAAUAAAAGUUCAGAAAUGCAUCAAGAACUCAAGAAUAUAAAAAACAAUUAAAAUCUAUGGGCAAGUGAAUAUUACAUGUACAGUUGACUCUUGAACACUGCAGGGGUUAGGGGCUCCAACCCUCCACACAAUGGAAAAUGUAUGUAUAACUUUUGACUCCCUCCAAACUUAACUACUAACAGCCCUCUUUUGGCUGGAAGCCUUACCAAUAACAUAAAUAGUUGAUUAACACAUAUUUUGCAUCUUAUAUGUAUGGUAUACUGCCUUCCUAUAAUAAGGUAAGCUAGAGAAAAGAAAACGUUAUUAAGAAAAUCAUGAGGAAGCCAGGUAUGGUGGGAUGCGCCAGUAUUCCCAGCUAAUUGGGAAGCUGAGAUAGAAGAAUCACUGGAGUCCAGGCAUUCUGGACUGCUGUGCACUUUGCCAACUGGGUGUCCACACUAAGUUUGGCAUUAAUAUGGUGACCUCCUGGGAGAAGAGGACCACUAGGUUGUCUAAGGAGGGGCAAGCUGGCCCAAGUUGGAAACAGAGCAGGUUAAAACUCCCAUGCUGAUUAGAGUGGGAUCAUGCCUGUGAGUAGUCACAAUGAGACCUCACCUCUUAAAAAAAUAAUACCAUGGCCAUAUGCGGUGGCUCACGCCUGUAAUCCCAGCACUUUGGGAGGCCGAGAUGGGUGGAUCACGAGAUCAGGAGAUCAAGACCAUCCUGGCUAACACAGUGAAACCCCAUCUCUACUAAAAAUACAAAAAAUUAGCUGGGCGUGGUGGUGGGUGCCUGUAGUCCCAGCUACUGGGGAGGCUGAGGCAGGGGAAUGGUGUGAACCCGGGAGGCAGAGCUUGCAGUGAGCCGAGAUUGCACCACUGCACUCCAGGCUGGGUGACAGAGCAAGACUCCAUCUCAAAAAAGAAAAAAAAUAAAAAAUGAAAAUCAUAAGGCAAAAUAUCAUAGCCAUAAUGAGACCUCACCUCUUAAAAAAUUAGUACCAAAUAAAAAUCAUAAGGAAGAUAAAAUAUAUUUACUAUUAAUUAAAAGGAAGUGGAUCAUGAUAAAAGUCUUCAUCCUUAACAUUUUCAUGUUGAGUAAGCUGAAGAGGAGGAGGAAGAGGAGUUGACCUUGCUGUCUCAGGAGUGACAGAAGUGGGAAAAAAAGUCCAUGUAUAGGUGGACCCUUGCGGUUCAAACCCAUAUUAUUCAAGAGUCAACUGUAUAACAACAGGAUAAUAGUAAUCUAGAUUAUAUAUAUAUAUAUAUAAAAUCUA